GAAUGAAUAAGACUCUGUUGCAGUUGGGAAGGUUCCACUUCACGUGGACAAGGGGGCUGACUAUGAGCUGAGGGCUGACUAUGAGCUGAACUUCCUGUGAUCAUGCCAGUUGACGCUUGGAUGGCGCCUAGAUGGGGAUCAAAGUCAGGUUGUCCCUUUGUAGUCUUAUUAUGUGCAGUCUUGUGAAGGGGACAGUUGCCUGAUACGAAGUCGACAUUGUCUUCUCACUGGUCCAAUGAUGUUGAGUCAUGGAGGAAAUACAAUUUGACUAGAGAGGAUAUCACAGGGUCAAUAAGCAGGAGAUUAGGCGAGAUUGAUUCUCUCAUUAUCUUACCAUUUCGUAAUAGUGACAAAAGUUUCUUCACAGUUUACUCAUGAAACUGCUAGAAUAGCCUAUCAGUUGUCAUCCAAGAUGUAAGAGCUCAGGUUCCUGCAUCUUUUCUAUAUCGAUGAUGCAGUGUUUCUUUUGAAAUGGCAGUAUAGGGGCAGUGGAGUCUGCGUACAGAUAUCUAGAAAGAGUUACAAUUUAUGUCAAUACUGAAAGUCAUCUCUACCGACUCCAGAUAUUUGCCAAUGUUUGCCAGUAUGCCAAUACUUGCCAUCUUCGGAAUUGGAGGUUGGGCAUGACUUAAUCAGGGAUAGCCUCGCAGCAAGAUAGAAUGUGGAAAAUUGGAAAUGAUAUUCAAUCAAAAGCUGUGGAUAGCUGUCUGACUAUUUCAACUUGACUACUCAACAGUGGCAUUUCAACUGGUUUCAGAUGCCAAGGAUAUGUGUAUUUGUCGUUUGAAAAACGAAUAGCCAGAAGGGAUCUUCAAGACUGAUUCACAGUGAAUAAGUAGGGGAGAACCUGUUUGCUUGCAUUUACUUAGUCGGGCUGCUUGAGCUGCAUGGAGGUUAUUGAUUUUUUUUCUUACCGGGAGUGCAAGAAUACUUGUUCUUAAGGGGGUCAUCAUUUUUAAAAGGUAAGAUUUCAGCAGCGAAAUAACAUAAGUUUCCGCUAGCACGGCCUUUUGAAUUUCUCUAAUCUCUUGAGUCUAACACAAUGCUCAAAAGGCCGGCUAAUCUAUCACUGCUAAUCCUUCUGAAAAAAAUGAUGCUAACCACAAUAGCUGACUUGGAUGGACCCUUACGACUAAAGCUGGUGUGCAACAGACAAAUUAAAUUCACCUUAUUCAAACCAGGAAAUUAAGUAUUCAGAUUGAGCUGCAUACCCAGGCGGGUUGGUUAAGUAAGGCGCUUUUCUGAUUCAUCACUGACUCAAUCUAAUGUUAGAAUCACCAGGAAUGUCAGUUUCUUACGUACGUGUGAUGUUUUAGCUUGGAGUGGGACUCUCCUUAUGCAGUUUAGCGAGGUACAAUUUCAAUCUCAAUUUGCAUGCUUGCGUUUUCAGGAGAUAGUUGUCAUCAACUUAAUGGUUACAUGCCAAAUGGUAGUGAACCUUUAUCUCUGUUCUUAAUUGGUGUGAUGUUGCGUUCGCGGACCAUUACUGUUGAUUUGAAUUCUCGUGUCACCCCCUGCAGUCUAUAGCAUAAAAUUGCUGUGCUCUGACUGUAAACAAGCUAAUCCUGCGUGUAAAAUUGUGCUUUAUGUGAAACAAGGGGUCCCUUCUUCACUUCCCUUGACGAUCUCUUGUUAAACUAGGAUGAUUAUAGUGGUGGACAUUUAGUAGAAAUCUCAUGAAUAUUGAUAUAGGAUGGAACAAUCUCUUUUGGGUGCUCAAGUGUAGUUGACUGUAGCAGGUAAUCACACCCUCAAUAUGCUGUACCAUUUAUUUGUUCAUUUUCUCAUUUUCAUUUUGAGCUUCAGGAAGAAGUGAUGUGGGGAUCUCUGUCUUAAAUCUGCAAAUAGGAUAUAAUUUACUGUUGAAGAAGCCUGCUUCUUCUGGCUUGACAGGAUAUUAAGUGCACAACAAUGAGCUAGCUAAUGAUGAAAGUCUUAGUUACAAUUGUUACUGAUAAGGCCAUUAGGUGAUAUCUGUGAAAUUACUCCUUCAAAGUGUUGAGGCAUAAGAUGGUUCCUUUAGAAAUCUUAUUUCUGUUUCUGUAAUAUCUUUGCCAGAUCAGACUUAUACUCGGCCAUAACAUACAUGCUGUGAACCAGGUGAUCUGGGAGAAGACUCAAAGACAGAAAUGACUCCAUCCCCAAAGGAGAAGUUUGUGACUUGGUCCUGAACAUCCAACACUCCACUCUACGCUCCUAGUAUUUUGUGCUGUUCUUUUUUCAGGAUCAAGAGUACAAACAUUACAUCCGCAGAUGAUCUUUUUACAUCGGAGUACUCUGUAGCCAAAGCUUACACCUAGAUAUCAUUUAGAUUUUUUCUUGUGGCUUCGUGGCAAGUCUGUAUAUGUAUUGUCCAGCUGUUAUUAUUAAACUGACUGUUGAUAUUUAUCUCUUAGUUUUUCUGUUGAAUCUAUGAAAGUUUUCUCUUGAAUCUUAAUGAGAACUGCCUCAUGCGUUAUUCAAUCAUUAAGUACAACAGGACUCUUCUUUUUCUGUUGUCAUCCAGCCACUUCAUUCGCCUAUGUAACAGCAAGAAGAUGGUCAAAUAGUUUGGAACGAUGUUACUUUUCAUAAUACAAUUCCUUAUCAUUUGUGCAUCUGUCAUGUCUCGUUUCUUAUUUUACGAUCCUGUUUAAGGUUGUAUGAUUCACUUUUACCUGAUUCGGGCUACGAGCUUCACAUAUGACAUCCCCCAUGUGACAAUAUUCAAUUCUCUCAUGAAGAUUACUUCGUAUAUGUCCAAAUUAUUUUGGACGUACUUGAUUUCUUGUUUGUUUCUUAUUUGCUCUUUUGCCUUUGUUCCUUUGCUCUUCUACUGGAUGCUGGUUUUGUUGUUUUAUAUUCUUUUUUCUUCUGUUUUUUUGCUGGAGAACGAAAGGAAGGGAUAAGGUGCUAGCCCCAGAAGCAGUGAUAUAUAAUCUUCUUUGGGUUACUCUUCAGCUGAAAACUGUUGAUAUCACUGAAGAAUAUUGGUAGAUAUAAUCAUGUGAGAAGUGUUGGUUUUCGCGGUAAUUUCCUCCAUGGAAGAUUUGCUGGUGCCUUUUCAGCUGCUCAGGGUGAACUUGUUCAGAAAUGGGAGCCCAUGAACAGGUAAACGUCACCUGCACUGCAGGUAUUUUGGAGCCUUUUGAACUUUGACUCUGUUGUGAGUUUUAUUGUGAAUCAUUGGCAAAUCACCUGCUGUUCGAAGUAUGUUGCUUAGAUAACAGAUUGUUUUGAGUUGAACAAAAUGCGAAAACAUAGGUGGAUAACUUGAGUUAUUGAGACCAAUGAAAAUGGUAUAGAUUUUGUCUUGGACCAUGAUCUUUAUCUCCUAAUGUUUUGAUGAGACAAGAGCUUUGGAUUGUUAUCAGGCCCACAAAUAAGAAGAUCAUCAUAUAGGCCCUCCAACCAAACUACUUAGUUCAAGAAUGAAAUGUUUUGUUUGAAACAAUGUUUCCUUUGAUAUCUCUAAAAAUUAAAUAUUGUGCACUUUUGCUAGUAUAGCACUAACUAUUGUAGUGUUUCUUGGAAACAAAAGGAAGAACAGCCAUCUCCUACAUCGAUUUUAUAAUAGCAUACUGUUAGCCAAUUUGGAGUGCCAAGAUUAUGUCAUCUCUAGCCUGCGGGAGCAAACAACCAAACCACUGAGAAAUUGCAUUAUUGAGACAGAGCUUACAUAGAUUAGGCCCAAGCAUAUAAGACUAGAAGGAUCUGGUGUCUUCAAGCUUGGUGGUUGCUUGAUUUGGAAAAUAUUGCUAGAAGUGGUAAUAUAUCGCAUGGAUGUUUCUGAGGUGGGGAUAAGUGACACUCAUGAGGUUCAUAUACUAUUAUGCCUUUUUGUGCAUGAUAUUUUAGCUAUGCUUUAUUGACAUCUAUGUAUUCAUUAUAGAGAUUCUAUUUUUCUCGAACUAACUUAGUCUUAGACAUGACUUUAUGAAAAAAUUUCAUCUGCAAUUAUCAUUCUUAUUUUAUGCAUAAGAAACCCACCAUCACCACUAGGGCAGUUCAAAUGACAGAUUUUAAUCAGCCUGUAAUUGCACCUUCCCCAAGAAAAUAAAACUUUCUAUAUUAUGAGAGCAUUUGGUAUAGUUCCCGCACAACAAUUAUAACUAUGAAAAGAGAUAGCGUAGUUUUUUCAAGAUGUUUAGCAAACACUUUACAUUGCCCGCGUUGCGCCCUCAUUGUUGUGGCGACUUGCAGCGCUCUUGCACUUAGUUUCAAGGUGCCGCAACGUUAGAAUAUAUAGUAUCGAAUGCAUAAGCUACAACACUUCAUAGGAUGACUAUAGAUUGCCAUAUCUAUACCAACUCAUUCUACCACUUGGAUCAUAUGAACUCGAUGAAUGUUCGAUUAGCAGGAUGACUUGUUACUUUCAAGAUUGCUCAUUUGUUAAUUUUACUUUUUUAUACUCUUCAGGACACAAUGAGUCAUGCUUUCCAGUUUUAAGCUUUGGUAAGUCUUCCCAUUUUGUUCCCUGUACUUACACAAUUAAAAUAUUCUUAAUAAAUGUUCUAAAGGGUAUUGUGCUGUUAUAAGAAUCACAGCGCAUUAAGGAAUGUGUUUUAUUCAGAUAUCUCGGAGUGAAACUUUGAUGGACUGCAAGUGCCGGUAAAAUUCUAACGAGAAAGCUUUGCUAAAGAAUUUGGUCCCACGAGAUACCCAUGUGCUGACAAAAGAUUCAUAUCUUAUAAGAAGCUUUUUGCCUGAAUGGUACUUUAAAAUUUCAGGACACAUGUACUUGGAAUUUGGAGCAUUAAAAAUUUUAUUUAUGCCGUGUGUGGAAAUCUGUAACCUUGAAAAAAGAAACGUAAGUUGGGAAAAUGGAACUGAAUGAUAAGAAAAUUCUGAAGUGUUGGGUGUUAUAGAUGUUCUAUUUGGUUGAAAGAACUGGAUUCCUUAUUUACGAUACUCUGUACUGGUUCUGAACAUGCUAAGAGUUACUAGCGAUGUCGGUAGGUUUCUUUCUCUUUGUUGUUAAAUUGAUGCUAACAUCUUCUUCCACCCUUUUACUGCCAUGCUAUUCGUCUUUGUACGUUAUUCUUCUCUUCCAUCACAUCGGUCAAGAUGCCUUAAAAAAUGUGGGAUAAAGAAAAGUAUGCAUAUCAAUGGGAUUAGUUAUUAUAAGAACUGGCUGCUUGGAAUUAUGUCAGGAGUCUUUCUCAAGUGGUGACAAAAGGAUCAACCUUUUUCUUUUUGGAAGUUGUACCGUUUAUUUCCAAUGGAAAUACUAGAGAGGGCUGUGAAAUAUGGGUUCCAUGUAGGGAUUUUGCAGCAAAAGCUUAAAAAAAAGGGGAGAGAGAUAGAGAGGAGGGAAAAAAAAGCAAAGGAAGGAAAGAAGGUUUGGCAAUGAUGAGGAUUGGAAGGAAGAAAAAGGUGCAAAAGGAAGGUUUAUUGAGAGGAGGAGAUGAGAUGAGAUUCCCUGAUGGAAGCUGACACAACUGCUUGUAUGUUAGAGAAAGGUGAGAGUGGGGAAUUUUGCAGAGAAGCUUUUGGUUUGUCUGGUUGUGCCUCGUGAGAAGAUUAUGAGAAAAAAAGUUUGAGAAAGAAAGAGGACAUCUCUUUUAUGGGGCAAAAUGGCAUGUAUCGUACCUAAACCCUGCAACUUAUACAUGUACUUUCUAAAAGCUAGGAUAUACCCAUAAUUCUCGUUCUCAAACUUUCUUUCAUUAACCCCUAGGUCCCCCCCUCCCCUUCUCUCUCUCUCUCUCUCUCUCUCUCUCUCUCUCUCUCUCUCUCUCGGGCGGUGGUGAAUAGACAUUGUUAUUCUAACAACUUCCCUUUAUGUUAUGCCAAAGCUGUAGACACCUUAUGGAAUCAUAUGCUAGCACUUUUCCUUUGCUUUUCCAUUGGAUAGCAGCUAAGGUAACUCACAUAUUAUUCAGUUGUGUUUAUAUCUUGCAGGCAAAAAAGCUUUUGGUUUUCCAAGCAUAUUUGGCAUUUUGUAUUCUUUACUGUUAUUUUCUAAAUUCGAGGAGACCAACCUACUAAAUGGGGAUGGAAUUUUGAGGUAAAGCAUGUAGAAUUAGAAUAUGCAUGGAGUCCCACAUGCACAAAAAAUUGUCAGCCUUUCUAAAAGAGUUUAGCAUCCAAAUGGUUGUGGUCCAAGGCGUUAGGUUGAUCCCUUCUCUGCCUACUUUUAUUUUCUGAAACUUGGUGGUCUGCUUAUGUGCUAAAUUAAGUCUUCUUUUUAUUAUCUUGUUUGCAGAUUUACGCUGCCAACAAAAGUCUGUAAAACGUUAUAGGGGGACGUGCAUGGAAAUUGAUAAAGUUUGAAGAGGAAAAAAGAGGACUUGAGAGGAAUGUGGGUAAUAAUUCAAAACUUUCAUACUUCUACUGAAGCAUCUUUUUCGGAUAGCCGUUGACAUUUCUCUCUUCUGUGUGUUUCUUCUUUUUUUCCUCCUCAUCCCUUCUUCUCUCUUUUUCUCCUCUUUUCUUUGCCUCUCUCUUUCUUUUGGUUUUAGUAGUACCGCUUUCUUGUCCCGGACCACCACCAUCACCACCACCACCCACCACCACCACCGGGCACAAAUUCACAUACACCAUCAACUUAGUUGCCUUUUUAACUCACGCUCACAUUACAGCAAUUUUUUUUUGGCAGCCUCUCUUUGCCUCCUCUUUAGGAAAGGUUGCAUGUCCUUAGAUUUUCAUCUUCCGUUAUCUCUCUAGCUCUACAUUCUAAAUCUCUUGAAAAGAAAGUGGGUGAUGAGGAAAAGAAUUUCUUGGAAUUGGUAAAUUCCUAGCAUUCAACCAAAAAAGGCUUGGAGAUAUAAAAGUGAGAUGCUUGGGAUUUCCAAAGCAGCACUUCUUCUUUUAUCUUUCAGAACAAAAGGGUGUUAAUCUUUCUUCUUCUCUUGCAUUAUUGCUUUCACUGUGCUGGAUUUGGGUUGUGCGAUUAAACAUUAUGGACUGCCUUAUUGCCCAUCCAUUCAAAGGAUUAAGUAUGUCACUUGGAGCUUGUGUAUACGUUAUUAUGAGUCAUUAGGUCUUGAUAACUUUUUGAGCUUAUAUUCAAAGGUGAUAUGCUAAUGCUGUUUAGUUUUGUAA